GAAUCAUUGUUCUUGUCAGACGAUUAAGUAAAGUGUUUGUAUUUUAAGUUUGAAAUUAUUCUUGGUUAUUCAACAUUUUGUGAAUAAACAAUCAAUUAAGUUUGUUUUAUUGAUUAUUUUCCAUUCUUUAUUUGUUCAAUAUUUAUUUUAAAGUCUGUUACCAUUUGUCUUUUAUUGCUAUUUUGCUUUUUGUGGAGGCGUUCUUUAUUCAAUCUUCAUCAUGUUUUCCUUUACCUCUUUUGGCUUCUUUUCGUAUACACACACACACACCAUGUUAUGUAUAUACUGAAAAUUACUAAUUAAUGGCUUUUUCUUUUCUCUUUGCCUUCAUGGAAAUGGCCUUAACCAUGACUUUGCUGGUCAACUAAUCAUCUCACAAUAAAUAUUGAUGUCAACACUUGGAUAGAGCAAAAUGGAAACACAAAUGGCAACUGAAUAACUGUAAAUACGAGCAAGAGUAAACUCUUAACCUGAUUACUUUACAUUAUAUGGAUUUUUUUUAAAAAAAAAGCUCAACUGAAAGAAACGGAUGUCAUUGAUGAACAAAAACUGAGUAACUACAAAAUUUGUAAAGAAUAAAGCAAAGAAUAAGGAAAAGAUUUCUUCCUGGUGCAAAAUAGCAAAGAUUUUUCAUCAAAUGAUCAACAUGAAAGUAAAUAGAGGAAAGAAAAUUGAUCUCCAAAAUAAGGUAAAACAAAGAGACAGAGAAGAUGAAUUAUCGAUUCGUGAAACAUGAAAAGGUCGAGUAAUUAAGAAAAAGCUAGUCCAUAAUGAUGGAUCGGAAGUCAAUGAUCAACAAGGAAAAGAAGUGAAAACAAAGACAAAGCAAUUUGAUGCAUAAAUUUGGAUAUUUCCCAGUUAACAUACAAAGAAAUAUGUUCAAUUUUUACAUAAUACCCUGAUCACAGCAGUAUCUUAAGAUGAUGAUGAUGAUGAUCAUCAUCAUGAAAUCAUUUUGAGAAUGGAAAGGCAGGAAAUUAAGUAAUAUGGUUAAGGCCUAAUAUUUAUAUUUGAUAUGAAUGUGCAUGAAAAUGGAUGAACUGGAUAUUGACCAUGUAAAGCUAAAUGGACUCAAAGCCUUUAACAUUGAAGACUCACCAUGACCACCUCAACCAUCAUCAUAAUCAUCAUCGUCAUCAUCAUUUUUUUACAAAUGCAAUGAAUAAAAUGGAAAAGGGAAGAAACAAAAAAAGUAGAAAAAAAAGGAAACGGAAAAAAUUGACUAAUAUCCGGAUUUAUGAUUAGUCUUUGACUAUGAAAGGUAAUGAGAAUGGAAACUGAAAGUAAACAUGAAAACAAUUGGAUGGAAACAAGAUUCAACUCUACUUUUACCGUGUUAUUUCAUCGUCAUCACCAUUUUUUACUUUCACUUGUCUAUUUGAGGCAAUAAAUUUUGCACAAUACAAUGAUUGUUGAAGAAGAAGCAGAAAAAAAACAAUCGGAAAUACAAGCAAUUAAAAGGUGGAAAAAGGAGUUUAUUAUUUA